UGAACGGAUCGCUUUUUACCUAUCAUACAGAGCUACCACAAAGUACACAGAAAUGGAUUAUAAAACAAAAUCCAUUAAGUCUAAUUUGAGCACUAUCUGUCGGGUGGUCAAAUUGUACUCAACAGGAGCUAUAAAAUACCAGCGUCAUUACUGAGACCCCUGAAUAAAUGCCUUUAGAAAAUACUUGAGACAACAAACAGGAAGACCUUCGGCUGAGAGUAUAAAUCGGGCUAUGACAGGCACUUGCAGGGAAAAUAGUAUGAAACAACAUGAUCGUGUGUAUCAAAGCUGUGUCCUAGGAUGCCAACCUGGAGGUACCACACAAUGGUGUGGUCAAGCAAGGCUGCC